CCCUUCUCCGGCUGGAAUCAGCAGUUCUGUUAGUGACGUCAUAGGCGUGCGCCGACCAGAGCUGGCUGAACCCCUUGGAGGGUGAGGGGGAACAAGGAGAGAGAGAGAGGGGGAACAUGGAGAGAGAGAGAGAAGGAGAGAUGGAAGGUGAUUGGGCACCAUGGAGAGAUAUUGAAGAUGAGGGCAAAUGGAGAGAGAGAGAAGGAGAGGGGGGCAACAUGGUGGGAGAGAGAGAAGGAGAGGGGGGCAACAUGGUGGGAGAGAGAUGGAUGAAUAGAAUAACAAUGAAGGUAACUGGUUUGUUUGCAGUGAGACCUUGUUGCUGAUUUUCAGAGCUUGAUCUAAAAUUAUUGUAAAGAAAAUAAAAAGUUUUAAAAUACUCUAAAAGCUGCCAUGACACUUGGAAAUUUUCUGUAUGAGAAUGACUGAUCUAUUUCAUUUUGUCCCAUCAAGUAAAUUCUCUGAUAUCUGAACUGCUUUUAAUCCAACAAGGUUAGCAUCUCCAUAAGGACCAGAGUUCAUGAUUUGGAGAAAGCAAGUCAUCAAGUGACUCCCGGAGAACAAACUAGCAGAAGGUGGAUGUGAUUGAUAAUUCAGAGAUGGACUAUCAGCUUAAUGGACAGGUAC